AGCAGCCACGGUAAUUCCAGCCCCAAUAGCGUAUAUUAAAGUUGCUGCAGUUAAAAAGCUCGUAGUUGAAUUUCGGGACCAUCAUGUCGGUCGUGCCUCGGUACGUACUGGCAUUGUUGGUUUCUUCCUUCUGACGAACCAUGAUGUCAUUUAUUUGGUGUCGUGGGAAAUCAGGACUGUUACUUUGAAAAAAUUAGAGUGUUUAAAGCAGGCUCACGCUUGAAUACAUUAGCAUGGAAUAAUGAAAUAGGAUGUUUGAUUCUAUUUUGUUGGUUUUUAGGAUCGACGUAAUGAUUAAUAGGGAUAGUUGGGGGCAUUAGUAUUCAAUUGUCAGAGGUGAAAUUCUUGGAUUUAUUGAAGACUAACUACUGCAAAAGCAUUUGCCAAGGAUGUUUUCAUUAAUCAAGAACGAAAGUUAGGGAUCGAAGACGAUCAGAUACCGUCGUAGUCUUAACCAUAAACUAUGCCGACUAGGAAUCAGAUGAUGUUAAUUUAAUGACUCA
rnacentral:rRNA from 1 species